rnacentral:lncRNA from 11 species
CCAUUGUUGCUCCAUUAUCAAAGAAGUUCCCUAUUGAUGUCAGUCUCUGCAAUACCGACAAAGAUGAAGGGUUGCCUGGCCCAGCAACCGAGUCAGUUGAAAGCAGGGAUCAAGAACAGCUGCAGCCUGACACCGAGGAAGCUACCCUUGCAGUCAGGACCAAGUGCCUCAGGCAAGUGGGAGUCCUGAGUUCACUCAGGAUCAGGAAAGCAAUGAAGCACAGUUAACUAUCCCAGAAAGACUGCAACUGAGGUCUCAUGCUAUUCAGCUGCAUAGAUCCACCCGGUUGGCACAGAGAAAGGGCAACAGGCACCCUAUAAAAGGACCACCCAGGUCCCCAACCAUAACCAUCACAGACCUUUGGCUUGUCUGCUUUGCUUCUUCAUUUCCCAGAGUUUGGAGAUCUGAUCCAUCAUACACCAUGAGGGCUCUCUACCUUGCCGUGGUUAUCAUGAUGUUGCUUGCCACUGCUAUGAAUGUUGAAGGAUUUAAAUAUAAGCCAAGCUGUUCUGUAGAUGGAGGCCGAUGUGCCAAAUAUUGUGAGAAGACUGAAUAUGCCUCCUAUGUCCAUAAUUGCCCUCUCUGCUGUUUUAAGUACAAGAAGGAUGACUAAAAAGGGAGGAUGCCACUGAGAUGGGCCAAGAGGAUGUGGCCCAUUGCUUAGCUACCAAGAAGGCAUCAUGUUUGAUCUCCUUCAAUAAAUGCAAGAAGAAAAAUGCUCAGCUGUCUCUUGUGUCCUUCCUUGAGGGAGAGAUGCAUUGGUGGAUAAAAGAAAUCUCUCAGCCUA